UAUAGUCAAGUGUUGUGUGCAUACUUUAUUUUGGUUAAAGUGGUGAAAGAAUUCGGCUAUAU
rnacentral:tRNA from 1 species